ensembl:lncRNA
CUGACUGUCCGUCGUAGCGAUCAGCCCUUCCUCCGCUUUUAAAACCUUUCACCUGAUUAACUUGUUUUAUAAACACUUUAACCUCCGUUUCUUCCCUUACAUUCAUACGUUUACAACUUUAUAUCGUAUGGACGCAUUUUAAUCCCGGAGUAGAUAAGGUAAGGUAGGUCGACAGUUGACUAGCGUUUAUAUUGUCUUAAGGUUACUGGUAUAUAAUAAUGAUCAACCAGUUUACUACCGUUUAUAUUGUCUUUAGGUUACUGGUAUAUAAUAAUGAUCAACCAGUUUACUACCGUUUAUAUUGUCUAUAGGUUACUGGUAUAUAAUAAUGAUCAACCAGUUUACUACCGGUUAUAUUGUCUGUAGGUUACUGGUAUAUAAUAAUGAUCAACCAGUGUACUACCGUUUAUAUUGUCUAUAGGUUACUGGUAUAUAAUAAUGAACAGCCAUUUUACUACCGGUUAUAUUGUCUUUAG